rnacentral:tRNA from 3 species
GCCCGGAUGGUGGAAUUGGUAGACACAAGGGACUUAAAAUCCCUCGGCCCUGCGGCCGUGCCGGUUCGACCCCGGCUCCGGGUACCA